ACUUGUUCUUUAAAUAAGGACUAGUAUGAAUGGCAUCACGAAGGUUAUACUGUCUCCCCUUUUAAAUCAGUGAAACUAAUCUCCCCGUGAAGAAGCGAGGAUAAAAUUAUAAGACGAGAAGACCCUAUGGAGCUUUAGACUAAGCAACUUUUGCUAUUUAAACACUUAUACCCUCCGGAAAUCUAACUGUAUUUUCUCAUAUUGAUUGCUUGUCUUAGGUUGGGGUGACCGCGGAGAACAACAUAACCUCCACAAUGAAAGAAACUUAAUUUCUUAACCCAGAAUUACAAUUCUAAGUACCAAAAAUUUGACAUAAAUUGACCCAAUAAAUUGAUCAACGAACCAAGUUACCCUAGGGAUAACAGCGCAAUCUACUUCAAGAGCCCCUAUCGACAAGUAG
rnacentral:rRNA from 1 species